GCGAACUCCGGGAAGGCCGGCGGGGGAAGAGGGGGGGUGGAGUCGGUAAUCGGAAUGACUGGGCGUAAAGGUCGUGUAGGCGGGUAAAUAAGUAAGAAGUGAAAUCCAAUAGCGCAACUAUUGAACUGCUGUUGAAACUGUAUACCUAGAAGGUGGGAGAGGCAGAUGGAAUUUCUGGUGUAGGGGUAAAAUCCGUAGAGAUCAGAAGGAAUACCGAUUGCGAAGGCGAUCUACUGGAACAUUAUUGACGCUGAGAUGCGAAAGCGUGGGGAGCAAACAGGAUUAGAUACCCUAGUAGUC
rnacentral:rRNA from 1 species